rnacentral:tRNA from 1 species
GCCGAAGUGGUGAAACUGGUAGACGCGCUGGACUCAAAAUCCAGUGGGGGCAACCCCGUGACGGUUCGACUCCGUCCUUCGGCACCA